UGGGCUGGCCGGGCGACCGCGGGGGAGGCAACUCCUUCGAGGAAGGUCCGGGCUCCACAGGGCAGGGUGGUGGCCAACAGCCACCCGAGGGUGACCGUCGCGGCUCGGUAAACCCCACCUGGAGCAAGACCAGACAGUGAGCGUUCGAGGGCGGCCCGCCCGAGCUCACGGGUAGGUCGCACGAGGGUGUCGGCAACGGCACUCCCAGAUGGAUGGUCGCCAACCGUGGCGUCGUGAGGCGGUACGGCGAACAGAACCCGGCCUAUGAGCCAGCCCAUCCG
rnacentral:RNase_P_RNA from 1 species